GGAGGCAGUCGGAUAGCUGCGUCUCGGAACGGAAAAUCCGCAGAUGAGGAAAGUCCGGGCAUUACGGAAACAAGAUACCAGAUAACGUCUGGCUGGAGAAAUCCACGGGAAAGUGCCGCAGAAAAUUACCGCCGAACAAGUUUCGGUAAGGUUGAAAAGGCGAGGUAAGAGCUCAUCGCACGGGCAGUAAUGUUCGUGGCAAGGUAAACCCUAUCUGAUGCAAGACCAAAUAAGGAGGCUUUAGCAAUAGAGCAAGGAGAGUUUCCGCUCCGCUCCAGAGGUAGGUCGCACCAGUCAAGCGGUGACGCUUGAUGCAGAUGAAUAGCUAUCGCACAAAUCUUCAGCUGUUCGCAGAUGAAGCAAAUCGUGUACAGAACCCGGCUUAUAGAUUGCCUUCAACU
rnacentral:RNase_P_RNA from 1 species